AUGCAAGUUCUAACAACGUGUAGACCUUGGUGUAGGCAUGUUCUCUCCAGGCACUUGGGUUUGUGAUGAUGCCCCUCCUCUGCAUGGCACAGCAGUGAAGCACUGACAGACUGCCUGCAUGUCUCUGCUUCAUUGCAGGUGUGACAGGGGACAUGUCCCCCACCCAAAAUCAUCUCACAUGCAUUCACAGUGGGUGCCUGUUUGAUCCCGAGCUGCAGGUACGACGUGUCCUUCCAGGGGAAGGUUUGCUGCCCUCCUAGCAGAGGAGAAGUGUUCCUGGGAAGGAGACCUUCCCCAAUGCCGUGCCCAGAAAUAAGUUUUCUUGUAACCCACCCACUGGUCCAGUGCUGUCCACAGUGGAACUGCUUGUGCUACGGAAACACCACAGCCUCCUGAGGGAGAUCGUCAGCCGCUGUCAACGUAAGACAUCCAGCACGUGUCUUGAAGGGUUCUUGCACCAAUGGCUUCUCACCCCUGUAGGUCAGUCUGUCUGACUGUACCCACAGAGAUUAAUGCGUUAGAAACCCACAGCAGACUUGAGCUUCUGACUGAUGUGUAUCAAUGCAGUGAUCAUCUGAAAGCAACAGGAAAAAAAGGAAUGCCAAGAUUGAAUUUACUGUUGUAUGUGUCUUUUGUAACUGUUUUGCAGAGUGAAUCACUUAAAAAUAAAAAAAAGCUCAUUCUACUGGAUCAAUUACUGGUAGCAUAGUAUUGAUGUACAUUAAAGUCAUAAACAAGACUUGUCUGCUGAGAACAGUCAGAAGAAAUAAACUACUGAGAGAUAAGUUUAUGCCACAGGAAGCUUAAUCAUAUUUUUCUCAGCCUAUAUUGUGUGGGCUACAUCUGAUCUCAGAGACCUUAAAAGGUAAUGUAUAAGAUGGUCACCCUAAAAAAAAAAUCAGUGCAUGUUUAUGCAGGCUGUGUUGGGAAGAACAAACCAGUAAUCACUGGUUUGCAAUCAGUUCAAGAUCAGAUCAUUAAAAACCAUUGCACCUGCAUGCUGCAUGCAAUGGCCCACCCAUCUUUUUUUUGGUAAUAUCCCACCUAAGGCAAUGUUGGCACAUAUAAUCAGAUUCUUUUGGGGCUGUAAAAGGAUCAUGAAUUAAUAAAGAUGUGCUUAGAGAUGGUGAUUGUCACUAUUCAUCACAGAGUUUUGUACAUGCCUUCCUGGAUUCAUGAGAUGAAGUGGACUACUGCUCUGAUGUGAGCAAGCCCCACUUUUUUCUUUCAGAAACUUGUUUCCCUUUCCUCUAAGGAAGGCAGCUGUGACAUCAUAGUUCCUUCAGCUGUUCUGUAAACCUCCAGCUUCAUACCUCAUUAAAUAUGGAUAGGAAUACUGUGUUGCUCGGUUACCUGUUUUUUGGGAAAGAGGUGUGUGCUACUUCUUUACGGUGUUGUGAACCUGGAGCACAGUGAAAAGAACCUCCUAUGCUUGUGCUGAAACUGUGUGGAAACAGUGACUUUUAUUUUUUUUGGAAGCACUGGGGAAAGAAGGUAAUAGAAAUACAGAAGAGUAAGCAAAGCAAAUAUCUACAGUCCUCUUAGUGGGAAAGGAAACAAAGCAGAAGAUGGGUGGCGUUAUACAAAGUGUUAUACAAAGGAAGGUGGCUGGCUUUUUUGUUUAAUUAUGAAAGGUCAUGGUUACAGUAGGCCUUUAUUUUGGCUAUAAAGUCUUUAACUGCAGCUCUGACCUAGUCAGAACUACCUGGAGCCAAUGCUGUGAAAAAAAAAAAAAGAGCCCCGUUAUGUUAGUACAACCUUAUCUCUAAAAAUAUGUCUCAAAACAACUUCAGCAUAGAGCUGAGGGACUAUCUCCAAUGUAGAAAUGA